AACUUCCCCAAGGACUGACCCUGAGACCGAGUUCCCCUUGUUCGGGAGUCCCUGCGGUUCUGCCAGCUCUCCUCCACUUUGUAAAAACACCAUGUGCCCCGCACCCCUCCCGAAUCUUACUAGGGUGCAUUACCUGGGCUGCAAAAACCUCCUGGGCACCACACACAAGGACGGUUCUGGAACACACCUCCCUUGAAGAGAGUCCCCUGCCAGGUGAUGGCAUCCAAUCCUUCAGUGAAUGCUGCAAGUGACUAGACGUGAAGAAGAGGCAAAGAGCCCAUGAAAGAGGCACAAAGAGUUUCCCGUGGCGCCAGCUCCCCAGUCUGUCACUCCCUCACCAUUCCUUUCUUCACUUCUCCCAGCAGCCCAGGCCUGUCUCAGAUCUGGCCUUGGCUGGCAGAUCCUGAGCACUCUCCUUCCAUCUGGAGUCCAUUAGGAGCACCUUGCCAGCACACUCAGCCUUUCAGAGGUGAUCCACAUGUGUGCGAAGCAGGAGACACUUGUAAAGUGCCUGUGCUGUGCCCCACAACCGUUGUAUACAGCUCAGAUGAAGCUCCCAACAGGCUUUCAGCCCAUUUCCUCUGGGGCUUCCAGGCCUUAAGGCCCAAGGAGUAACUGCAAGAAUCUGAAAAGAAGGCUAAAAA